GGGUGAGUAACACGUGGGUAACCUGCCCAUCAGAAGGGGAUAACACUUGGAAACAGGUGCUAAUACCGUAUAACAAUCGAAACCGCAUGGUUUUGAUUUGAAAGGCGCUUUCGGGUGUCGCUGAUGGAUGGACCCGCGGUGCAUUAGCUAGUUGGUGAGGUAACGGCUCACCAAGGCCACGAUGCAUAGCCGACCUGAGAGGGUGAUCGGCCACAUUGGGACUGAGACACGGCCCAAACUCCUACGGGAGGCAGCAGUAGGGAAUCUUCGGCAAUGGACGAAAGUCUGACCGAGCAACGCCGCGUGAGUGAAGAAGGUUUUCGGAUCGUAAAACUCUGUUGUUAGAGAAGAACAAGGAUGAGAGUAACUGUUCAUCCCUUGACGGUAUCUAACCAGAAAGCCACGGCUAACUACGUGCCAGCAGCCGCGGUAAUACGUAGGUGGCAAGCGUUGUCCGGAUUUAUUGGGCGUAAAGCGAGCGCAGGCGGUUUCUUAAGUCUGAUGUGAAAGCCCCCGGCUCAACCGGGGAGGGUCAUUGGAAACUGGGAGACUUGAGUGCAGAAGAGGAGAGUGGAAUUCCAUGUGUAGCGGUGAAAUGCGUAGAUAUAUGGAGGAACACCAGUGGCGAAGGCGGCUCUCUGGUCUGUAACUGACGCUGAGGCUCGAAAGCGUGGGGAGCAAACAGGAUUAGAUACCCUGGUAGUCCACGCCGUAAACGAUGAGUGCUAAGUGUUGGAGGGUUUCCGCCCUUCAGUGCUGCAGCUAACGCAUUAAGCACUCCGCCUGGGGAGUACGACCGCAAGGUUGAAACUCAAAGGAAUUGACGGGGGCCCGCACAAGCGGUGGAGCAUGUGGUUUAAUUC
rnacentral:rRNA from 1 species